AGUUUUUGCAGUAUUGCUGUUUUCAGUUGGUUUGAUUAUUGCUCAGUCUCAUGUUUUUAUGUACAUUCCACAUGUUUUUCCCAAUGGGGGCAUUGUUUACCCUCUGUAUCACAUUUUUCCCCCUUUCUGUCCAUUCCUCAUCGCAGGCUUCCCCGCCAGCGGAGGCACGGCCAUAGCACCGCAGGUCUCACACCAGCCAGAGCGCUCAGCCUGCACCCAGCUCGCCACCAUGGGGACGGCUCAGGUUCUGCCCGGCAUCCUGCAGAAGCACUGCUGUGUCCUCCCGGACAGGAACACAGAUUUGGCACCUGUUGCUGGGCUGUACCCCUGAGGACAUCACCACGGCUGGUGUAAGUGCAUCCUAAACCCCGCCUGUCCUCUGAACCAUUUUCCAGGCUGCUCCCAGAAAAUUUCUAAUAAUUUUUUCUUUGUCUUUGCAGAUCAUUUUACAUGAAGAAGAUUUUCUUGUGACUAAAAUAAUCUCCAUAUCUGAAAACUGACUAAAUUCACAGUAGCAGAAAAAAUGUUUACUAUUGUUUAGAUAUUUAUUUUGUCAUUUUCAGUGGAAAAUACUGAAAUUAAACAUAUAUACAUAUAUAACAUUGGAUCUGACUCAUUUUUUUCUUUCAACUAAAACAACAUUUAAUGCUAUCUAGUCACUUCUCAUUGUCUAUGCUUUAGGUGAAAUAAUGAGGAAAAUACCCACAAGAUUAGUGUGAUAUAACAUGAUAUCAAGUUAUUCC
rnacentral:lncRNA from 1 species